rnacentral:rRNA from 1 species
GACGAACGCUGGCGGCGUGCUUAACACAUGCAAGUCGAACGGACAGGCCCUGCUUUUGUGGGGUGCUCGAGUGGCGAACGCGUGAGUAACACGUGAGUAACCUGCCCUUGACUUUGGGAUAACUUCUGGAAACUGCGGCUCAUACCGGAUAGGAGCUCCUGCUGCAUGGUGGUGGUUGGAAAGUUUCGGCGGUUGGGGCUGGACUCGCGGCUUAUCAGCUUGUUGGUGGGGCAGUGGCUUACCAAGGCUUUGACGGGUAGCCGGCCUGAGAGGGUGACCGGCCACAUUGGGACUGAGAUACGGACCAGACUGCUACGGGAGGCAGCAGUGGGGAAUAUUGCGGAAUGGGCGGAAGCCUGAUGUAGCAACGCCGCGUGCGGGAUGACGGCCUUCGGGUGGUAAACCGCUUUCGCCUGUGACGAAGCGUGAGUGACGGUAAUGGGUAAAGAAGCACCGGCUAACUACGUG